rnacentral:rRNA from 1 species
GACGAACGCUGGCGGCGUGCCUAAUACAUGCAAGUCGAACGAGAGCGACCGGUGCUUGUACUGGUCAAUCUAGUGGCGAACGGGUGAGUGACACGUGGGUAACCUGCCCAUCAGAGGGGGAUAACAUCCGGAAACGGAUGCUAAAACCGCAUAGGUCUUCGAACCGCAUGGUUUGAAGUGGAAAAGAGGCGCAAGCUUCUGCUGAUGGGUGGACCCGCGGUGCAUUAGCUAGUUGGUGAGGUAACGGCUCCCCAAGGCCGUGACGCAUAGCCGACCUGAGAGGGUGAUCGCCCACAUUGGGACUGAGACACGGCCCAACCUCCUACGGGAGGCAGCAGUAGGGAAUCUUCGGCAAUGGACGAAAGUCUGACGGAGCAACGCCGCGGGAGUGAAGAAGGUUUUCGGAUCGUAAAACUCUGUUGUUAGGGAAGAACAAGUGCUAGAUUAACUGUUAGCGACGUGACGGUAUCUAACCAGAAAGCCACGGCUAACUACGUG